rnacentral:rRNA from 1 species
UAGGGAAUUUUCCGCAAUGGACGAAAGUCUGACGGAGCAACGCCGCGUGAGUGAAGAAGGAUUUCGGUUCGUAAAACUCUGUUGCUAGGGAAGAAAAAAUGUAUAGUAACUAUAUACAAAAGAGACGGUACCUAACCAGAAAGCCACGGCUAACUACGUGCCAGCAGCCGCGGUAAUACGUAGGUGGCAAGCGUUGUCCGGAAUUAUUGGGCGUAAAGCGCGCGCAGGUGGUUUAGAAAGUCUGAUGUGAAAGCCCACGGCUCAACCGUGGAGGGUCAUUGGAAACUAAUAAACUUGGGUGCAGGAGAGAAAAGUGGAAUUCCUAGUGUAGCGGUGAAAUGCGUAGGAAUUAGGAGGAACACCGGUGGCGAAAGCGGCUUUUUGGCCUGCAACUGACACUGAGGCGCGAAAGCGUGGGGGGCAAACAGG